CUCCCUUAAGCUCUAAAAAAAUAAUAUAGUGUAGUGAUUCUGUCUAAAAAACGCUGACAAAGAAUGCAUCUACUUCCUAGUAAAUUCUACAGCUGGAAGGAAGUUUCUAGAGGCACCUCAGCACUGACUUCAGUACCCAUCACUCCACAACUCAAGGAUGGAAACCUUGAACGUCUGAAUUUGCUGAACUGCUUGAGAUGAGACAUCCGUUGUGGACUCUUCUUUUUUGCCCUUUGCUGGAUGGUAGGUGGAGGACAGUUAUCAGAGCUGCAGAGAAGGAAAUAACCUGUCUGGCAUCAGACACUGAUCCUGUUACCAUCUAAUCCACACAGCGGCAGUGGGAGAGCAGAGCAGGAGCCACGAUGGCGGGGGCCAUGGCAGGACAAGCAUUUAGAACGUUUCUCUGCUCCUUGACUGAGUAUUGGUUGAAAGGCAUGCACCCGAAACCCUGCACUCAAAGCCAUGACAUGAGGGACUUGGAUAACAAAUACUUGGAUAAUGAAAACAUCCAAUAAUUAAUGUGCCACCUACUCACCAGGAUCAUGGCCCAACAGGGAAAUGUGGAACAAAGCUCUCCUCAAGGGGAAAGAAAAUGGGAUACACGGCUUGGAAAACCUUCACUAACACUCCCAUAUGAAGAGUGAUAGAAUGCUAAUUUCCCACAGAUUCAUUAUCACCAUGAAAUGAAAUUUUGGAACACAUCACAGAAUGUGCUUGCCUGUGAUUUCAAGAAAUCUACUUCUCAGCAGUUGAGGUUGGACUCAGAUUUUUUUAUGUACUAGAAACCAAUUUUCCUGUAAUGAAAUUCAUUUGUCUCUGAAAUCAACUGUGCCAUGUACUGUACCAUAGUGUAAGUAUGAGUGGAUGGCACUACUAUGACAGAGUAGGGGGCAGCAUGGUUUUGGACAUUUGGGGUCUUGUAUCUCUCAAUUUAUAGCCUAUAUUCAUAAGACAGCAGAAUAACAACAACCAACACUUACCAAGUGCCCGAAAUGUCUUAACUCAUUUAAGUU
rnacentral:lncRNA from 1 species